UUAUUCUAUUUCUAAGCCGUGCCGACUCUUUUUUCAUUGCAGAUAUGGACGCAGACGUAGCUCAGGUACUAGCCAAGGGUCUCAAGACCCACAAGAGGAAAGGCGCCGCAACUUCUGGGUCGGCGAAGAAGGCGAGGGUAGAGGAGACAAGCUCGAUCGUGCUUGCCCAGACGGCCAUUGCCGUUGAUGCCCCCUCCGACGUCGAGCCUGCAGUCCCCCGAGCUUCUUCAAGAAGCCC
rnacentral:lncRNA from 1 species